UACGUAGGGUGCGAGCGUUGUCCGGAAUUAUUGGGCGUAAAGGGCUCGUAGGCGGCUUGUCGCGUCGGGAGUGAAAACCUUGGGCUUAACUCAGGGCUUGCUUUCGAUACGGGCAGACUAGAGGUAUGCAGGGGAGAACGGAAUUCCUGGUGUAGCGGUGAAAUGCGCAGAUAUCAGGAGGAACACCGGUGGCGAAGGCGGUUCGCUGGGCAUGAUCUGACGCUGAGGAGCGAAAGUGUGGGGAGCGAACAGG
rnacentral:rRNA from 1 species